rnacentral:rRNA from 1 species
UAUCUCUGUAGAGUCUGCAUAUCAAUAAGCGGAGGAAAAGAAACUAACUAGGAUUCCCUCAGUAACGGCGAGUGAAGCGGGAAGAGCUCAAAUUUGAAAUCUUCAAGGUUCUACCUUGACGAAUUGUAGUUUAAAGAAGUGUUUUCUGUUGGAGUUUUGGUAAAAGUUCUUUGGAAUAGGACAUCAUAGAGGGUGAGAAUCCCGUAUUUGAUCCAUUAUUUUCAGCUGUGUGAUACACUUUCAAAGAGUCGGAUUGUUUGGGAAUGCAGUCCAAAAUGGGUGGUAAAUUUCAUCUAAAGCUAAAUAUUGGCGAGAGACCGAUAGCGAACAAGUACCGUGAGGGAAAGAUGAAAAGAACUUUGAAAAGAGAGUUAAACAGUACGUGAAAUUGUCAAAAGGGAAGCGUUUGACACCAGUGUUGUUUUCUCGAAAAUCAAUUAAAAAAAGUUGGAUUUUGUAUUGUUAAGACCUUAUCAGCUUACUGUACUCUUUUCUUGCUUUUUUCAAUGCACUUUUCGUUUAACAAGUCAACAUCAAUUUCUUUUGUUGUAAAAGAGUCAUUGGAAGGUGGCUUUCACUUCGGUGAAAGUGUUUAUAGCCUUUGGCUUCUGCAAUCGGAGAGAUUGAGGUCUGCAGCGUAGAUCCUUCGGGGUUAGAUACAGUUAGAUGCUAAGUUAUAGCCUUUUCAUAGACAACUUGUUGACUAUAAUCAUCAUGUAGCUUACUCGCUUAUGGUUAUUUUACCUACGCUUAGGAUGUUGACGAUCAGCUGAGCGCG